AGUUGGGGUGUCUGAGGUUUUGAGUGAUACCGGAAACACGUUGUAUAAAAGUAUAUAAUGUUAUUAUAAGCAUAGCAGAAAUUGCAUAUCCCUCAAAUGUUGGGAAAAUUGUGAAAACAAUAAAAAGUCAGAAAUGACUGGAAGCCUCCAGCGGGCUGGACAAAUUGUGAAAAUCCUUAAAAUUAAGGAAACGGCUUCGGGCCGGACAAGAUGUCAAGUACAUCAUAAAUCCCUUUAAAAGACGGGAAAAUCCUUAAAAUUAAGGAAACGGCUUCGGGCCGGAUAAGAUGUCAAGUACAUCAUAAAUCCCUUUAAAAGUCGGGAAAAUCCUUAAAAUUUAGGAAACGGCUUCGGGCCGGAUAAGAUGUCAAGACAUCGUAAGUCCCUUUAAAAGACAGGAAAAUCCUUAAAAUUAAGGAAAUGGCUUCAGGUCAGGUAAGAUGUUAGAAACAUAUAAACAACGCAACGGAGCCACGCUGUGACGUCAUCGCCAAAUGAAUUGAUUAUUUUUUUUUCUUGACCUCUUUUUUGUACUUAUCAUUCUUUCUUUUUAUUAUCUGAGUUUCGUGACGUAUUGGUUAUACUGUAAGGUCAUGUAAACAUAUUUUUAAUAAAUAAAUAAAUAAAUCAGUGGUGAAAUAUUACUGGUGCAGUGGUGAGAAUCUGUUUGCCUUGGUUGAACUCAGCUCUUUGGGUUAACAUUGCUCUGACUAUCAUCAGUAUAUGCACAACUUAUGAGUACUCAUUUACUCAUAAAAUAAGAGUACUUGAAUUUUGAUAACUCUAAACAGUCCAUAGAAAGUAGGAGACAAGAGUUUUUAUGACAUUUCAUCUUCUUUUGUUCUAUACUAAAGGGUUCUAAUACUGAGUUACUAUUAUCCAGUAACAGAAAAUACAGAUAGUAGGUUUAAGCAAGGUCUAAAUAACAUUAGCUCAUGCUUUAUACAUUGACUAGAAAGAAAGUAGCCUAUUGUGUAAUUGUACCAUAUAGGUAAGUGAUGCCAUGACAAUAUCACAUUCCUGUCAUCUAGGGUUUCUACCAUCUAUGAUAUUAUCUAUUCUGUGCUAGUGUAUCUGUCAUUUUGACAGAUCAAAAAUAGUAAUAGCCAUGUAAUAGCAUUACAAAUGAAAUGGAAACAAUGGUGUUGGUCUAGUUAAAUGUGGAUAUUUCAAGUUAAGAAAUAAAGCAAAUGUGGACAGGUGAUCCAUGCAUGCUGUACAAUGUUUAGCAUGACAAAUCCUGAGCAAGUUAUCGCUGAGUGGUGACACAUGUUCUGGAUAGACAGAUUGCUUUGGCUUACACCACUGGUGUAACACUAGUUUCCAGAAGUAGGUACUGAGAAAUAAUAUGGAUGUGGAUGGUGGAUGUAAGAUUAAAAAUGCAUUUCAGCAUGUUGCUUGACUGAAUGUAAGCAAUAAGAAAAGGAAGGUAUGACUGGAAAUUAUAAAGUACAUUCCUAAAUAUCUACAGAAAUAAGGUUUGUAAGUAAAACACUAUGAAAAACAGAAUGGUGAGUGGUAUUUGUAAAACAGCCUGGUAGUAAAGCCGAAAACUAUGUCUGACACUACAUUACAAUAAAAUGACACUCUUACUGUCGUAUUUUUGGUUAUUAUGCCCAGUAAUAUAUUUUCCUACAGGACAGAAAUGAAUACCCAUUUUCCAAAGUGUUAUAUUUCAAGGCAGGUAUUCGGUUAGAUGCCUUACACCAUGACAAAGUAUUACCCUAUCAGUGUCCUCAUAUUAAAUCUGAGCUAGGCUACAAAUCUGUUGGGGGUUACAAAACAAACUGUUUUUAUCCACUGAGAUAUUCAUACUAGUUCUAUUUAUCUUACAGGUCUCUUCCAAACAGGUCACAUACCUAAUAUAUGGUGGAAUAUGGCUGAAAACUGUUCAUAUCCUAAUCAGCCAUGUCAGCCACUUUGGAGACAGAGACUUGUGCUCUAGUUCGCUAACACUCUAUACCUACUGUGGUGAAAGGUCUGUGCACUAUUAUUUAGUUUAAAAGUUAGCGAACAGAGUCUCAGUCAAGCAAAUAAAUAUUUUGGUCUGUGUUUCAGAAACAGGUAAUUAAAUAUUAUACAUUUUAUGUAACUCAUACCAAUGUUAAACAAAUAUAAUAAAAUGUAAAUUACAAGUAUUUUGAUAUAUGUGUCACAUCAUUAUGAGAGUUGCUGUAAAAGUUUCAUAUACAUACUGUUACUGUUAUUAGUAAAGUGAUUCCUUUUGUGGAAUACAUUUGAUACAGUAGAUCUCAUAACAAAAGCUCAUGUAUAAAGUUAGAACUCUGUCUUUUGCCUAUUGGCCACAAACAUUCAUAAGUACUUGAAAAUAAUGGUUAUUAAUUAUGACUUAAUUUUUUUACAUAAACUAAUCCAUGUUAGGUCCAUAUCUGAAAAGUGAAGUCACUAUAUGUUUAAUAUGAAUAAAAUUAAAGUGAAGUCAGUAUAGUUACAUGGUGACCAAAGAGUAAUAUGUUUUACUAUGCAUAUUGUUUAAUGUUUAAUAAGUACUGCUUGCUUGUAUUGUAUACCUAAAGAUAGUAGUUAUUUGAGAGUUAUUUUACAUACUAGAAUAUUAAGUCUCUAGUACUUUAUAGUUUAGCCAAACUCGAUGUGACUGUGAUGUUGGAUGCAAACUAGGUAAAACAACUUUCUUACACAACACAAAUGUGCCAAUGGUGGACUUAAUGCUAGGAUGCAUUCUCUACCAACAAAUUUUAAGUUAAUGAUACUUAGUAGUAACCGGGACUACUAACUAACUGUUGAUAAAUUUUAUGGUAUGUUUUUGACUAUCGUUAAGACAAUUCAUUGUGUUAUUUUUUGAUAUGAAAUUGAUUAUAAUUGACUCAUAAUUCAUUGUAACUACUAACAAUUUAGAAAACAUUGUAUGUAGAUUUAUUCAUAUUAAUGAUUAAUCAUAAUUAUAUUUUAAAAGUAUUGGCCAGAUUAUUAGUUAAGAUUGCGGUAUGCCUUCACUGGGCAUUAUGUACUGACUUACAUACCUCGUUUAUUCACCUGCAUUUUAAUGUAGGUACAUAGAUGUACAGUGGAUUAAUGAAAUAUAGAAAGUAAACUACACCUAUACUGCAUUCAUGAAACAUUGUAUUAGGCUAGCAAAUAGCAAUGUAAAAUUUUGGUUACUAAAAAGCUUGAAUUUGUGGUGUUCAAUGGUUAAUUUCAUCAACAAUCUUCGUAUGUCAUAGGUAUGUUUAUAAAAGACGUUAACUACUGAUAUUAGUUAUCUACAGAGUGAUUCAAUGUAUGAUGUGGGAGUACCUACUAAAUAUUGUAUAAAAUUUAAAUGGAAAUUAAUCAAUAACUGUUUUAUGUAUAAUUGUAUAUGAACCCAAGAGGUAGCAAGUAAAGAUUGUUAUAAAAUUUAAUUCAUUUAAAGAAAAGGAGAGGAAACGGGUAAAUGUCAUCGGGGAUUCCUACAGCAGAUCGUUAUUUCCAAACCAAAUAUUUACUGGAAGUGGACAGUCAUUGUACAGUAUCUACUUAAGUGUUAGUAUCUUGCGCUUAAUAAUAUUAAUAGAUAUAGUACACCUUGUAUGUAGUUUAUCUUGACUCUUUAGGGUUACUCUUAAGACUCCAGGAAUCGUAGUAUGUUAUGCUACUAACUAGUGGUUGAUAUUUCUAGCUCUAAAGUCAUGCACUUGUGUUAGUAUAAGAACUAACUACGGAGUAGGUAUAAUUAUAAUGUGAUGUGAUCAGAUUGUUACUCACUUAAUAUAAAAAAUAUUUGCAAAGGAUAAUCAUUUCAAACCUAUCUGGAAACUGUAACCCUAUUUGUAUUUGUGUAUAGUAGUAGACAUUGUUGAUUGUAUAAAAUUAGAAGUUUAUAAAAUGUGUAGGUAUCUGUGAUUCAAAACUGUUGUUGUUGCUACAUGCAUUUAUUGAAUUUGGGUUGAAGCUUAUUAGUGCUGAUUAGUGCGCGAUGCACUCUUGGUAAUUUCAUAAAUGGUCCAUACAUUGUUUUAAUUUAAAAUUUGUUAAAAAGGAAGAGAUGUGGUAUUCCAAUAAAUGGCGGUGUGCUGGCAACACUCAGUUGCUGUCAAGAUGGCACCAAGUGUGUGAGGUCGGACAAUGCCGUACGGAGAAA
rnacentral:lncRNA from 1 species